rnacentral:misc_RNA from 1 species
GUGAGUCAUCGAAUCUUUGAACGCACAUUGCGCCCCUUGGUAUUCCGAGGGGCAUGCCUGUUCGAGCGUCAUUAUGACCACUCAAGCCUGGCUUGGUGUUGGGGUUCGCGGUCCUGCGGCCCUUAAAAUCAGUGGCGGUGCCAUCUGGCUCUAAGCGUAGUAAUACUCCUCGCUAUCGAGUCCUGGUGGAUGCUUGCCAGCAAACCCCUAAAAAUCUCACGGUUGACCUCGGAUCAGGUAGGGAUACCCGCUGAACUUAAGCAUAUCAAUAAGCGGAGGA